rnacentral:rRNA from 1 species
GAUGAACGCUGGCGGCGUGCCUAAUACAUGCAAGUCGAGCGAAGCGGGGACGGGUGAGUAACACGUGGAUAACCUCCUAUAAGACUGGGAUAACCUCGGGAAACCGGAGCUAAACCGGCUAAUUAUAGAUGGUUCCGCGCUGGAUUAGCUAGUUGGUAAGGUAACGGCUUACCAAGUCAACGAUCCAUAGCCGACCUGGGAGGGUGAUCGGCCACACUGGAACUGAGAAACGGUCCAGACUCCUACGGGAGGCAGCAGUAGGGAAUCUGCCACAAUGGGAGAAAGCCUGACGGAGCCACGCCGCGUGAGUGAUGAAGGUCUUCGGGUCGUAAAGCACUGUUAGUAGGGAGGCGGUACCUAAUCAAAAAGCACCGGCUAACUACGUGCCAGCAGCCGCGGUAAUAC